rnacentral:rRNA from 1 species
AUGGAUCUGAAAAGGAUCGAUGCAAUGUCUGUGCAUGAUUCUAACCAAUCCAGUGUGAUAAACCUAACCGCGGGGGCGAUCUCAUGCAAUGAAGUAGAAAAUGGUAGUGCUAUUAUUGAUUGGUCAAGUGUUGUGAUUGAACCAGAAAAUGAUGGGGAUGAAAAACCGCCGGACGAGAAAGCCAUGUUUGCUCUAUUUGGUUUAAAAACAGAACCGGAUGAGAGAGCAACUGAGCUUCGUUCUAUUGCCGUUCCUACUCCUGCUGUGGAGUCUGACUUACAUGAUAUCAAAGAUGCAGAUAUUGUUGUUGAUGAUAAGGCUCCAGAGGAGCCACUUAUUGCCUGGGAUGAACGAAACCCAGCCAUGGAUAUAGGGACACCUUAUCCUAACAUGGUUGAAUUUAGAAAGGCUUUAAAACAGUGGGCUGUCAAUGGAGAGUUUGAAUAUGGCACCAAAAAAAUGAGCCAGGGAGGUUUCGGGCUUUUUGCAAAGGUCAAUCCAUAA